UACGAAGGGGGCUAGCGUUGUUCGGAAUCACUGGGCGUAAAGCGCACGUAGGCGGAUGUGUCAGUCAGGGGUGAAAUCCCGGAGCUCAACUUCGGAACUGCCUUUGAUACAGCACGUCUUGAGUCCGGAAGAGGUGGGUGGAAUUCCUAGUGUAGAGGUGAAAUUCGUAGAUAUUAGGAAGAACACCGGUGGCGAAGGCGGCCCACUGGUCCGGUACUGACGCUGAGGAGCGAAAGCGUGGGGAGCAAACAGG
rnacentral:rRNA from 1 species